UCAGUUGGUUAGAGCGUGGUGCUAAUAACGCCAAGGCCGUGGGUUCGACCCCCAUAUUGACCA
rnacentral:tRNA from 1 species